rnacentral:rRNA from 1 species
AGAAUAUUUGAUUUUGGUUUAGGUUUUAUGAGAUAUUUGAUAUUGCAUGAAAAUUAUUUUAGUGAGUAGAAAAAUGAUGAAUUUUAUAUUCAUUAGCUCUUGUUGUAAUUAAACGUAAUAAUAGGUUAGUUCUCAGCAUGUUAAAUUAUAGAAAAUGUAUGAAAAUAUGAGUUAGAAAAUAUUUUAGAUCUAGUAAAUUUUGUGCCAGCAUCUGCGGUUAUACUUAAAGUUCAAGUAAAAGUUUUAUCGGUAAAAGUUAAAUGAAUUUAAACCUGUAAUGUGUUAUAAAUGAUAAAAGGUAAAAUUAGGUUAUCAUUAUGUAAAUUGUGGAUUUAAAAUUGAAGCUAAAAAAGUUUGUUUAAAAACUAGGAUUAGAUACCCUAUUAUUCAAAUUUGAAUUUUUUAAGCCCGGUUAGUAGUAGUUAUUUACUUAAAAACUAAAAGAUUUGGCGGUAGUUUAAUCCAUUCAGAGGAAUUUGUUUUUUAAUCGAUAAACCACGAAGUAUCUUGCUUAUUCUAGAGAAGAUUAGUUUGUAUACCAUCAUUAUAAGGUAAUUUCAACAGAAAAAAUUGCUUAAAUUAAGUAAUAAAAGCUUAAGAAAAUUAGAUCAUGGUGCAGCUUAUGAAUAAGUUAAAAUGAAUUACAAUAAAUUUUUUUAGACGGAUUUACAGGGUAAGCACUGUAAUGAAGGAGGAUUUGAUUGUAUUUUAAGUUUAAUAAGCUUACAAGACAGAGGCUCUAAAUUAUGUACAUAUCGCCCGUCGCUUUCAUUUAUAAGUGAAAUAAGUCGUAACAUAGUAGAUGUACUGGAAAGUGCAUCUAGAAUUAG